UCGUCUCUUUCUUUCGUCUUCGUCUUCUCCUUUCGUCUUCAUCCAUUCACCGUUACUGAGCCUAUCAGCCAUCAAUCAAUGGAGUUCUUCAACACCCUCUUAAUGAGUUCGUUUCAACUCCCUCUUUUUCGCCUUCUUUAUAUACUCUUUCCCCUUUCCUGUCUACAAACCAAAACCCUAGAUUCUCCUAAAAUAUGGCAAUGAAACCAAACGGCAAGUCCCAUGUAUCCUCCGCCAAAGAUCACGAAGUUAUGUUCUUCGAAGAUAUCUCACUAGGUCCCCAAGAAACCCAGUUAUGCUACACUCUGAUCCACUUCUUAGAGGCUCGAAACCUAUUGAAAAAACACUUAUUGGUCUCGAAAUGCUCCUCAUAGAUGAACAGGAAACUGUUAUUCAAGGAUUCAUUCCAUCAGGAGGUGUUAAAAAAUAUUUGCCUGACAUGAAACAAGAAUCAGUUUACAGUCUCGGAUCCAAAAACAAAUCGGUGUAUCGGGUUGCUGAUCAUAGCGUAACCGUUUCUUUCUCAUGGAGCUCUAUCAUUUCGGUUCUUAAGUACAGUACCAUCCCCUUCGGAGAGGACAAUUUCUGGUUUCAUUCAUAUCAGGAAUUUAAAGCUAACUGUGAUCUCCAAAGUGACCUUUACGAUGUUGUUGGCCACAUGAAGCUGGUCAAUGGAUAGACUCUCAUUGAGCAAAUAGCAACCACGCGACACCUUUUGGUUCAUGUUGAAUCACAUGAGGGACCUGUGAUAAAGCUCUACUUUUGGGACCAAACUGCAACCGACUUCUGCAAGAAGUUCAAAUCUAUGAAAACACUCCCACCGUCAAAAUUUGCAUGAUUGAGACGAUCCCUUGCCCUCUUCUUAGAAUGCUUCUUCGGCGUUAUUUGUAAACUGGUAUCACAUAUCCCUUCUGCAAUGAAACUUCUCUUCAUAAAAGAACAGGUCUGAAUAAAAAUGAGCAAUUUCUAUUCGUCCAUGCUGCUUGCAAGUUUAUCUCUUGACUCAACUUAUUUUGUACAGUUAUAUACAAUUAUCUCCAUUUCUAAAUCAGUAAAUGUAUACAGGAUGAUGAGUUAAUCAAAGAACAUCACAACAAAAACCUAAUUACAAUUCAAAUAUCAUUACAUUUUGUGUUAUUUAUUUAGGUCUUAGUAAAAAGUAAAAACCCACCGCAUUCGCUUUCAACUUUUUUGAAAUGGGAGACACUUUUUCUCUAUCAUCAAUUGUACGUGUUGAUAUAUGUGUCGAAUUCAUCUAAGAAAUAAUAACCCAAAAACUCGAAAUAGUUAUACAUAAUGGUCUAAAUAUUGUCAGCCACACCCCUUAAUUCGAGUUGUUAGUAUCACCCAAAAAACCAUUACUAUUUUAUUCUUUCUAAAUUAACUUCCUUAUACAAAAAGGUUUACUAAAUACAUAUAUAUAUAUAUAUAUAUACUUUAAAAUAUCUCAAGUUUCUAUAUAAAUUAUUAUUUGAGCUCUGCAAUAUUUGUUUUUUUUUUUAAGUCUGUCGUGGGUAAACCAUCUUUAAAAUCUAUCAAAUUAUGUAUUAACAUUCUCUCCCCAUCGAAUAUACAUAUACGAGAAAUUCAAAUAAAAUAACCUAAAGGUAUUACUUAGGAACAAUUUAUAAACAAAUAAUUAUGAAAUUCAUUUGCGUUUAGAGGGACACACCAUCUAAGUUAAACAAAUAAUAAUUCACAUUUGUUCGAGUUAUUCUAUAUGCUGUUAAAUUUUUAAAAUUCAUUUUCUUAGCAUAGUACAAAUUUCUUAUGAAACCAAGAAUGCCCAAGAAGUAUAAAUGUAAUGCUAUUUAUUAUUGUCAGAAGGUCCUUCUCUGUCAGGGUUUACAGGUCAACUGGUUUGCUUCGGUAAAGUAGGCUUUCGGAAGGAGAAAAAGAUGCUUCAUUCGGUUCCCUCGGAUCGGUAAAUCCGAAUUCGUGACAAGACUACUAAUAGCAACGAAGCUGACUCGACCAGUUUACAACUUCGAAAGAAGGAGAGCGCUUCAGGAUUUAGCCUGAACCGAUGCCAGAGCUCUCAGUGGUUUGUGGACUCGAACCACAGUAGGAAUUUACAGUUCCGGCUCCCCAGCAGCAACCUUUACUUUGGAGUCAAUUUCAUAACAAAAUUUGAUGCUACUAA